GACGGAGGGUGCUAGCGUUGUUCGGAAUUACUGGGCGUAAAGGGUGCGUAGGCGGGUUUUUAAGUCAGGGGUGAAAUCCUGGAGCUCAACUCCAGAACUGCCUUUGAUACUGAAGAUCUUGAGUUCGGGAGAGGUGAGUGGAACUGCGAGUGUAGAGGUGAAAUUCGUAGAUAUUCGCAAGAACACCAGUGGCGAAGGCGGCUCACUGGCCCGAUACUGACGCUGAGGCACGAAAGCGUGGGGAGCAAACAGG
rnacentral:rRNA from 1 species